rnacentral:rRNA from 1 species
UACGAAGGGGGCUAGCGUUGCUCGGAAUUAUUGGGCGUAAAGCGCACGUAGGCGGAUUGUUAAGUCGGGGGUGAAAUCCUGGAGCUCAACUCCAGAACUGCCUUCGAUACUGGCGAUCUCGAGUUCGGGAGAGGUGGAGUGGGAACUGCGAGUGUAGAGGUGAAAUUCGUAGAUAUUCGCAAGAACACCAGUGGCGAAGGCGGCUCACUGGCCCGAUACUGACGCUGAGGUGCGAAAGCGUGGGGAGCAAACAGGG